AAAUGAGGACUAGUAUCAAUGGCAUCACGAGGAUCUUACUGUCUCCCCGCUCCAAUCAGUGAAACUGAUCUUCCCGUGAAGAAGCGGGAAUAUACCUAUAAGACGAGAAGACCCCAUGGAGCUUUAAAUCCAACAGCACCUAUUACCCAUAUAUCUUUAUAUUUUUUUAGCAAAUGCUCGUUCGGUUUUAGGUUGGGGUGACCAUGGAGUAAAA
rnacentral:rRNA from 1 species